GGUUAAAAAGCUCGUAGUUGGAUUUCUGUUGAGGGCGACCGGUGUACACCUCGUGUAUUAUUUGGUUCGGUCUCGGCAUCCUCUUGGGGAACGUUUCUGGACUUUAUUGGACAGGGCGAGAUUCAAGACUUUUACUUUGAGGAAAUUAGAGUGUUCACGGCAGGCAAGCGCUUUGAAUACAUUAGCAUGGAAUAAUAAUAUAGGACCUUCGUUCUAUUUUGUUGGUUUCUAGAACUUAGGUAAUGAUUAAUAGGGACAAUUGGGGGCAUUCGUAUUAACGCGUCGGAGGUGGAAUUCUUGGAUUGCGUUACGACGAACUACUGCGAAAGCAUUUGCCAAAGAUGUUUUCAUUGAUCAAGAACGAAAGUAUGGGGAUCGAAGACGCUUAGAUACCGUCGUAGUCUAUACCAUAAACUAUGCCAACUAGAGAUUGGUGGGGUUCUCUUAUUUGGCUCCAUCAGCAUCUUAUGAGAAAUCAAAGUCUUUGGGUUCCGGGGGGAGUAUGGUCGCAAGGCUGAAACUUAAAGGAAUUGACGGAAGGGCACCACCAGGAGUGGAGCCUGCGGCUUAAUUUGACUCAACACGGGAAAACUUACCAGGUCCAGACAUAGUAAGGAUUGACAGAUUGAUAGCU
rnacentral:rRNA from 1 species